AUUCUUUACGAAUUCACUGUAUGAUGGUAUUGCUAAAGUAGGAAAUUGUUUAGUAGGAAACAACUUUGCCAUCAUUAUCAUGUAAUCGCUAGCUACUAUAUAGCUCUCGAAAACCCUAGGCGGCAUACUGCCUUCUCCCUAUAGCUCGCUAGCUUGUUUUAGUCAAGGCGCCAGGGUUCCGGUCUAGAAUAACGGUUUCGAUAGCUCCUACAGUUUUGCUUCAUUACUACAAUUUAACAGACGACCGCCCCAGAAAGAUAAUUUCCAUACACGGCCACAUAGAGAAGUCAGAUUUGAAAAUUACUGAUAGCUAGUCUAUUUUAAAUUAUGUUAAUUUCUUACAUUCACCUUUUCAUGUUUAUUCAAAUACUUUUCAUUCAAAUCCAUAUGGUUUGGUUUCAAUACUUAAAUACCAAUUGGUAGGUUCAGGUAGUCACAAAAAUAGAUGGGUGUUGGUUAAAUUGUGAUUCUAAUAAAUGCAGCGGGAGUUUAUUUUUUCUGUGAGCAGUAGGAAAGGACAUGGAGCACCGCUCCAUGAUCGAUGAGCAGAAUUUCCAACCCAAACUAAUUUAUUUAUAUUGUCCCAUCACUGCAACUCCCAUACAUACUCGGGAGAGGCGGAGGUCACGAGUCUUGCAUCCUCCGAAACACAACCCUGCCAACUUCUUGACACUUAACCCGGAAGCCAGCCGCACCAAUGUGUUGGAGGAAACACUGUACAACUGGUGACCGAAGUCAGUGUGCAUGCGCCCAGCCCGCCACACAGGGUCGCUAGAGCGGGAUGGGACAAGGACAUUCCGUCCGGCCAAAUCCUCCCCUAACCCGGAUGAUGCUGGGCCAAUUGUACAUCGCCUCAUGGGUCUCCCGGUCAGCUGCGACACAGCCUGGUAUCGAACCUGGGUCUGUAGUGACGCCUCUAACACUGCGAUGCAGUAUCUUAAACCACUGAGCAGACCCUACUCACAUUUUUAUUUAUUUAACCUUUAUUUUACUAAGCAAGUCACUUAAGAACAAAUUCUUAUUUUCAAUGAGGGUUAACUGCCUGUUCAGGGGCAGAAAGACAGCUCUUGUCAGCUCAGGGAUUCGAACUUGCAACCUUUCGAUUACUAGUCCAACGCUCUAACCACUAGGCUACCCUGCCGCCCCAUACUCACAUACUCAGAUUAGGACACGCAGGUUGAAAUAUCAAAACGAACUCUGAACCAACUAUAUUAAUUUGGUCGAAACACAUGAAACAUUCAUGGACAUUUAGCUAGCUAGCUUGUUGUUGCUAGCUAAUUUGUCCUGGGAUAUAAACAUUGGGUAGUUAUUAUACCUGAAAUGCACAAGGCCCUUUUUAUCUGGAUCUUUGUAGAAUUUUGACACAUUUUUAGUCUCGUAAUCUCUCUUCUGUGGACUUUAUAUGACGGUUGGCAACCAACUUUACGGUGCAUUACCACCACCAACUGGACUGUGUGGACCUCAGUUCAUCUUUCAGUCACCCACGUGGGUAUAUGCUCCUUAAAACCAAUGAGGAAAUGGGAGAGGCGGGACUUGCAACGUGUCAAGUGUUAAAAAAUAGAACCAAGUUCUAUUUUAGCGCCUGGCUAGCAGAUGUUUGUUGACUUGCGCCAGCAGUUUGGAUGAAAUUAUUGAAUAAUAUGAAUGUUAUUGUGGUUAAAAGCGUUGGGUCAGUAACCGAAAGAUCGCCGGUUCAAAGCCUUAAGCCAACUAUGUGAGCAAGGCACUUAACCCUAAUUGCUCCUCUAAGUCGCUCUGGAUAACAGCGUCUGCUAAAAAAUCUAUUUGUUUUGCAUCACAUGUGCAUGCGACCCGGGUGGUGUUGUCAUCAUGUGAGUGUUUAAGUAAAUCAAUCAAACCUUUAUUUAUGCAAUUGCAGACAGAAGUUGACAACGGAAACACAGCACGUAUGUUUCAGAGUAAGUUCUGCAAAAUAAAAAAGGUCAAAGUUGCUUUAAUAUACUUGCAGUCAACCUCUAGUGAUGUAACUACCUAUGUCAACACCUUCUACUCAUGAGACCAAACCCAUGCAUAUACAGUUAUACAAACUUGCAGGAGAAAACAAUAGUCCAGUGUUUUCUAAGGGCUCAGCAGUAAUUUUACAUUCCCGUGUGGUUUACAGUGGUGUGUCUGACUUGUCUCUUAUCUAUUUACUCCCGUGCAGGGGUCUGUGUCAAUGUAUCUCUUUUAGUCUUGUUGCGCUUUCUCACAGACACCUAAUUUUGACUGCUAUGGCUCACACAUCUGCUCAGACCAUUUCUUAUAAGAGGCAGAGACUAGAAAAGAACUUUGGAAUAGUAUUAAACCUUAUAAUGCAUAUAUUACUAAUAUGUGGUCCAGGACCCUAUAAAUGUAGUGUGGGAGGGUCUUAUAGCCCUUCCCCUUCUAUUAAUACAACAUAAGAAUAUUGAAUUAUUAUAAUAUAUCAGUCAUUUGUAGGACCAUUUGUGAUGUUUCUGGGACAUUUUGGAGUGCCAACAGAAGAAGAUCUUCAAAGGUGUCACGACGAAGUCGGUCCCUCUCCUUGUUCGGGUGGCGUUCGACGGUCGACGUCACCGGUCUUCUAGCCAUCACUGAUCCACUUUUCAUUUUCCAUUUGUUUUGUCUUGGUUUUCUAAACACCUGAUUUUAAUUUCCCAAUUACAUGUUCAUGUAUUUAACCCUCUGUUUUCCCCAUGUUUUUGUGCGUGAUUGUUUCUACGUUCACUCUGUAAUUUAUGGCUGGUUUUCGACGGGUGCUGUUCUUCACCCGUGUGUAAUUUGAUUACCAUUAUUUGUAUUGGUCAAGUGUAUUGUUACCUUGUGUCUUGUUUCUGAGUAAAGUAUGUGGCUCACUCA